CUCCGACUUCCCGAUCCGUAGACAAGGCUCAGCACGUCUAGGCGAAUGUCUGGACCACGUGUCCUGGAGAUGCUCCUUUGUGAGCGUGGUUUCUCUCAGCAAGGUCCUGGCCGGAAGUCUCACGCGUCAGCAUUAGAAACAGAGUCACGGGAUCGAGUGUCUCGAAGUUCUCAGGAGGACGCGUCCCUGCACGUACCGACCCCAGCGGGCCCAGGGAGACACUUGAGAACUUUGAGUGCAGCUAAUGUGCAUUUCAAAGACCAGGCAGCUUUCAAGAAAUAAAUUGGUUUUUUCCCCUCUCUUGUUAAA